GAUGAACGCUGGCGGCGUGCCUAAUACAUGCAAGUCGAGCGAACGGACGAGAAGCUUUCUUCUCUGAUGUUAGCGGCUGACGGGUGAGUAACACGUGGAUAACCUACCUAUAAGACUUGGAUAACUUCGGGAAACCGGAGCUAAUACCGGAUAAUAUUUUGAACCGCAUGGUUCAAAAGUGAAAGACGGUCUUGCUGUCACUUAUAGAUGGAUCCGCGCUGCAUUAGCUAGUUGGUAAGGUAACGGCUUACCAAGGCAACGAUGCAUAGCCGACCUGAGAGGGUGAUCGGCCACACUGGAACUGAGACACGGUCCAGACUCCUACGGGAGGCAGCAGUAGGGAAUCUUCCGCAAUGGGCGAAAGCCUGACGGAGCAACGCCGCGUGAGUGAUGAAGGUCUUCGGAUCGUAAAACUCUGUUAUUAGGGAAGAACAUAUGUGUAAAUAACUGUGCACAUCUUGACGGUACCUAAUCAGAAAGCCACGGCUAACUACGUG
rnacentral:rRNA from 1 species